GUGGAGUAAACAGAAACUCAGAAGGGACUGGCACAAGAGCAUAUUCUGCAAAGCGGCAGAUGGACAUAAGUCUUUGGUUUUCCCUAUGUGCUGGGAGUGAAUGCGAUCCUUUUCUGCAAUUUGACCAGGGAUUGUACUCAGAGAAGGUACAUUAAAGCUGGAAGACCAAUUGGACUUAAAUAGUCCAUGACUUUCGUGCUAUGGACAAGAGAGCUGAGACCAGCCUGGGUUAAGAGGCAC